UUAUAAGUCGAUACUUUAGACCGUCAAACGACCCGGUUCAGUUUUUGCCUUCAAACGGAAUAAGAAAUCAGAAACCGAUUCCCAUUUAAGCAGUACUCAGGCCUUGCAACGGCUCAUUGUUGCUGAUUGGUAGCCUAGGGUUCAUUCAUGGCGAUCCCGCUCACCUCCUCAGGCAAUGGAGCAAUAGCGAUUUGAACGUGGGUCCAUCAAUAUCCUCUUGCAUAUCUCACAUGUUGUUUCUUCACCCGUUUGUGAGCCACUAUGGGGAAGAGGAUUCAAAGCUAUCACCAACUUCCUGUUAUUUCUGUAAGCCUGAAGUCAAAAGCAAGGGCAAUUUAUUGUAAGCCGAGAAAAUGAUCUAAUAAGGAGAAAGAGGAAAUGAUCUAUUUGCACUGGCUAUAAACUCAUCAUCACAAUAGAAGUUCCUCCUGUUUCUACAAGCUUAUUCAUCGAAGUUUAUGCUUCCUUAGUUUGAAGUAGGACUGCAUAUCAAUUAACUUAGUAUACGAUUCCUUAAGUGCAGUUUGUAUGUAUCAGUGCUGACACAGCAAGCAACAAUAUAAAUGUGCGACAUGGAUAUGGCAAUUUACUGGCAUGACGACACGAUUUUUUUCACAAAAGUAGGGACACACAAUUAUAGGGGCAUGAUGCACAUGAAGUAAUUUUUUUUUAUGUGGAAUCAAUACCAUCGUUGUAGCUGCAGGACCGACUGAGAAUCAUCAUAGUAUACGAGUUGGUCAGAUCUUGUUUUAAUAGAUGGUUUCGCGAGUCCACAAGAAAAAGAUAAACACUUUGGACAGAGGGAAUGGAGGAACUUUUUUCACUUGAUUAAACUUGAUACAAGUUUUAUUUUUGCUAGAACCCCAUCUAUAAUCUAGAUUCCAAUCUAUUUUUUAUGUUACUUUUGAUAUUCCCAAAACAAAAUACUUAAUACUACUAAGAGCAACUCCUAUCUACUCCAGUUUCAUUUGGUAAAAGUUCGGGACGGGAAGCUACUCGCCCUUGGUCAGUAGAACCAACAAGGGGGCAUUUUCAAGUUACUGAUGAGUUGUCAAGGGUAGAUGAUCUUAACUUUUUGACUUUUCAUGCUUAAUACAAACCAGCUGACCAUGGAAUUUUAAAACAUAUCUUUAGAACUUCCAAAACGACAAUUCUUUGAACCCUGUCCUACAUGAAUAACCUAUAUGCCUUACAUCGGAGAUCAAACAUGUACUUGCACAGAUAUAUAGUCAAAGCUUGAGCUUUGACAUUACACAAAAUUCCUAAGUUCAUAUACGUUUCUCUUAACAAUUAGAAAAGGUAGAAAAUCCAAUUUCAAUUAAGAUAACCAUCUCUGUUUAAUGACAUGAUUUUUAGCGUCUAAACUUGGAUUUUAUUUGAACAAUUAAGUAAAUGGAAGCAAUGAAAAUCCCUACUGCGUUUAGUGUCUCAAAUCAAUAGGGAAGGCUGCAAGGUUUAGAAUUUUCAUGUUUGCCUGAAUAAAUUCAAUCUCUUAUUGUUUGGUUUAGGAUUUAGGAUUUGCAGUAUGCAAACAUGAAAGAGUCAGAAUUUGGCCACUCUACGAUUAUAGCAGGGAUUUGUGGGCCUAAGUGAUUGAGACGGCAAGCCAACCAUGAACCAAGCUUAAUUUCAUUCUUUCUAGGACUGCUUAAAGCAAUCAAUUGACUAGCUAAUUGUAAGCAUCAUUCCAUCCUUAUCAAGUUUCCUGCUUCCACGCAAGUUCUCUAUUGGAGAAAUGUAAAAUUCAAAUUGUAUUUUUUUGCCUAUAUUGUUACAUUUGUUUCACAUAGGUUCGGAGAAAAGGAGACUUAGUUGCAGGAUCCCCCUGUUGGGGUGGCUAAUCUACCUCAGAACCUUGCUGUAAAGUCAGAAUCUCCUUAAAAACUUGCUGCUCCCAUCAUGAAAGAGCGUGCUCCCAAUUAUGAUAAUCCUCUCAAGCAUAUAAAUUCCGAAAGAAA